rnacentral:sRNA from 1 species
GUCUGGAAUUUUUGAGCGGUCGCGAGUUCCCCG